UACGGAGGGUGCAAGCGUUAUCCGGAUUUACUGGGUUUAAAGGGUGCGUAGGUGGGUCUGUAAGUCAGUUGUGAAAUCUCCGAGCUUAACUCGAAAACUGCCAUUGAUACUAUAGAUCUUGAAUUAUCUGGAGGUAAGCGGAAUAUGUCAUGUAGCGGUGAAAUGCUUAGAUAUGACAUAGAACACCAAUUGCGAAGGCAGCUUACUACGGAUCGAUUGACACUGAGGCACGAAAGCGUGGGGAUCAAACAGG
rnacentral:rRNA from 1 species